UACAGAGGGUGCGAGCGUUAAUCGGAAUUACUGGGCGUAAAGCGCGCGUAGGCGGCUUUGCAAGUCGGGUGUGAAAUCCCCAGGCUUAACCUGGGAACUGCAUUCGAGACUGCAUUGCUAGAGUAUGGGAGAGGGAAGUGGAAUUUCCGGUGUAGCGGUGAAAUGCGUAGAUAUCGGAAGGAACAUCAGUGGCGAAAGCGACUUCCUGGACCAAUACUGACGCUCAUGUGCGAAAGCGUGGGAGCA
rnacentral:rRNA from 1 species